CCUACGGGUGGCAGCAGUGAGGAAUAUUGGUCAAUGGGCGGGAGCCUGAACCAGCCAAGUCGCGGGAGGGACGACGGUCCUAUGGAUUGUAAACCUCUUUUGUCGGGGAACAAAGGCGCCCACGGGUGGGCGGAUGAGUGUAACCGAAGAAAAAGCAUCGGCUAACUCCGUGGCAGCAGCCGCGGUAACACGGGGGCUGCGAGCGUUAUCCGGAUGUAUUGGGGUUAAGGGGUGCGUAGGCGGACAGUCAGGUCAGCGGUAAAAAUGCGGUGCUCAAUGCCGUACAGCCGUUGAAACUGGCAGUCUUGAGUGGGCGAGAAGUAUGCGGAAUGCGUGGUGUAGCGGUGAAAUGCAUAGAUAUCACGCAGAACUCCGAUUGCGAAGGCAGCAUACCGGCGCCCUACUGACGCUGAGGCACGAAAGCGUGGGUAUCGAACAGGAUUAGAUACCCCUGUAGUC
rnacentral:rRNA from 1 species